CUUGAUCGAGCCGAGCAGCAGCGGCCGGUCGGCGGGCCGGUCCUGUCCGUACGUGGCGAGCAGGGCCUGCGCCUC
rnacentral:antisense_RNA from 1 species